rnacentral:rRNA from 1 species
UACGUAGGGGCCGAGCGUUGUCCGGAGUUAUUGGGCGUAAAGCGCGCGCAGGCGGCCUCGCGCGCCCGACGUGAAAGCCCCCGGCUCAACUGGGGAGGGUCAUUCGAUACUGGUCGACUCGAAGGCAGGAGAGGGAAGCGGAAUUCCCGGUGUAGUGGUGAAAUGCGUAGAUAUCGGGAGGAACACCGAUGGCGAAGGCAACACUCUGGGCCGGCACUGACGCUGAGGAGCGAAAGCGUGGGGAGCGAACGAGG